rnacentral:rRNA from 1 species
GUAGGGAAUAUUGGGCAAUGGGCGAAAGCCUGACCCAGCAACGCCGCGUGAAGGAAGAAGGUUUUCGGAUCGUAAACUUCUAUCCUUGGUGAAGAUAAUGACGGUAGCCAAGAAGGAAGCCCCGGCUAACUACGUGCCAGCAGCCGCGGUAAUACGUAGGGGGCAAGCGGUGUCCGGAAUGAUUGGGCGUAAAGGGCGCGUAGGCGGCCUGGUAAGUUUGGAGUGAAAGUCCUGCUUUUAAGGUGGGAAUUGCUUUGGAUACGGGCGGGCUUGAGUGCAGGAGAGGUAAGUGGAAUUCCCGGUGUAGCGGUGAAAUGCGUAGAGAUCGGGAGGAACCCCAGUGGCGAAGGCGACUUACUGGACUGUAACUGACGCUGAGGCGCGAAAGUGUGGGGAGCAAACAGGAUUAGAAACCCUGGUAGUCC